rnacentral:pre_miRNA from 1 species
UGCGGAUGGUGUGACUUGGCACUGGCGGAAUUAUCACCAGUGACGCAAGAAUCGUGAUGUUCCCCUGGUGCCUCAUCUCACCAUCCUCCC